rnacentral:tRNA from 1 species
GGGCGAUUAGCUCAGAGGUUAGAGCGUCUGUUUUACACACAGAAGGCCGGGGGUUCAAGUCCCUCAUCGCCCA